CCUACGGGAGGCAGCAGUGGGGAAUAUUGCACAAUGGGCGAAACCCUGAUGCAGCGACGCCGCGUGAGUGACGAAGUAUUUCGGUAUGUAAAGCUCUAUCAGCAGGGAAGAAAAUGACGGUACCUGAUUAAGAAGCCACGGCUAACUACGUGCCAGCAGCCGCGGUAAUACGUAGGGGGCAGGCGUUAUCCGGAUUUACGGGUUGUAAAGGGAGGUUAGACGGUAGCGCAAGUCUGAAGUGAAAUGCCCGGGCUUAAGCGCUGAACUGCUUUGGAAACUGUGCAGCUAGAGUGCAGGAGAGGUAGGUGGAAUUCGUGGUGUAGCGGUGAAAUGCGUAGAUAUUAGGAGGAACACCAGUGGCGAAGGCGGCUUAC
rnacentral:rRNA from 1 species